rnacentral:rRNA from 1 species
CACGGGGGUUGCGAGCGUUGUUCGGAAUCACUGGGCGUAAAGAGAGCGUAGGCGGGAUUGUAAGUUAGAAGUUUAAUACAAGGGCUUAACCCUUGACCGGCUUUUAAUACUGCAGUUCUUGAAUGUGGGAGAGGGCAAUGGAAUUCCAGGUGUAGCGGUGGAAUGCGUAGAUAUCUGGAAGAACACCAGUAGCGAAGGCGGUUGCCUGGCCUAACAUUGACGCUGAGGCUCGAAAGCUAGGGGAGCAAACAGG